rnacentral:rRNA from 2 species
GACUUGACCUCAAAUCAGGUAGGACUACCCGCUGAACUUAAGCAUAUCA